AUGGUGUCAUUUCAGAGUUGGGGCCUGUCGAAGGAGGGGUGGCACGUGGUUGAGUGUCUUUGGAGACAGGGUCUUGGAUAUAGCAAAGUCAGGAGGCUGGCCCUAAUUAAGAUGUACUCAUGGUCGUGGCCCUUGUCUCCUGGAAGGAGCAAGGCUCAGAGGAGCAUCUGCCUGGGGCUGAUGCUGAAGAACUGUGCACUCGCGACUUCAGGGCUCACUGUUUUCCUCUGCUUUUCCGGUGUUGCCCUUGGAAGUUGCCACUGGUGCUGGGAUGAACACACUGCCACCUCCUAUUCCUAUCAGCUACAUGAGCAUCCUCACACAUUCUACCCUGGGGUCAUGGGUGGUCAAGACUGGGGGUACAAGUCUACAUCUUCACAGCAGAUGAUGUCCAGCUCAGCCACUUUGUACAAACGUCAGGCACUGCCUGUACUAACAUGGUCCAUUUUGGGUCUACUGUACUCUUCCUGGGCGUUUCUCCUGGACGUUCAGUUUGUGAAGUUCAGUGUUGUGCUCAAUGUACAGCUUAUUCUUACCCUCUGGUGUUUGUCACAGGGUGUAUUGGCCUCAGCUGGGCAUAUUCAUAAAAAUCUGUCAUCCCCAAGGUCUGGCUGCUUCAACAUUCCACUACCAAAAUCAGCUGUGGCAGACAGGCCAAAAGGAGACCUGUCCCUGGUGACCAUCCCUCAAGGUGGGUUGAUCUCACAUCUGCUUCCUGGUCCAUGCCGUCUCAGAUCUUGGACUAUUUUAAUCAAAAAAUAUUUGAGGUGAAAAAAAAAGGUGAGAAUGACCCUCGGGCUGGUGUCCAGCAAGGACAUCAAGACCUUGUUGACAACCACCGGAAGCUGAACUCUGAAUCCCAAUGAGCAAGAUUUCUUUCAGAGCCUCAGAAGGGAGUGCAGCCCUGCUGACACCUCAGUUUAGGUCCACUGAGCCCUGUGCGGGACUUCUGACCUCAGAAAUAGAACUCUAAGGUACUACAUCUGUGUUUUGUCUUAAGCUGUGAGAUUUGUGCUGAUUUGUUGUGGCAGCAAUAGGAAACACAUCACCAUUCCCAACCAUGCUCUACCAGAAGAGGAGGGAGGUUUCUUCCACUACUGUGAUUGAGAAACUAAGAGAACUGCGGCCAUGAAGAUCUCUGCAGGCCAGUUAUAACCAGAGAUGCUGCCACUGGUGUGGUUCUUAACUAUCCAGUACAGGUGGGCGCGUCUGCCAGUGGAAUGCCUUGACCCGCAGGGGUCUUCAGUUGGUGGUUGAUUGAUUACAGUUCUCAAAAAUAAAUGAGAACCACAAUAAUGGGAAGUUAUUCUCCACGUAUGUAUGAUAUGUUAAAAUACAGUCUAUUGUCAUGCAUAACUAAAAAGAACAUAUUUUAAAAAUUGAAAAAGAAAUUAGUGGGGCUGGGGCUGUACCUCUGUAGCAGAGUGCUUGCCUGGCACACACAAGGCACUGGGUUCAAUCCCUAGCACCACAUAAAAAUAAAAAUAAAGGCAUUCUGUCCCUCUACAACUUCAAAAAAA
rnacentral:lncRNA from 1 species